CGGGUGAGUAACGCGUGGGCAACCUGCCCCACACAGGGGGAUAACAGCCGGAAACGGCUGCUAAUACCGCAUAAGCGCACAGCUUCGCAUGGAGCGGUGUGAAAAGCCUUCGGGCGGUGUGGGAUGGGCCCGCGUCUGAUUAGCUGGUUGGCGGGGCAGCGGCCCACCAAGGCGACGAUCAGUAGCCGGCCUGAGAGGGUGGACGGCCACAUUGGGACUGAGACACGGCCCAAACUCCUACGGAAGGCAGCAG
rnacentral:rRNA from 1 species